GCUUUGGUGGCCUAGUGGCUAGAGCGUCCACCUCAAAUGCGGGAGGUCGUGGGUUCGAUUCCCAGCUGAGUUAUACA